GGACGAACGCUGGCGGCGUGCCUAAUACAUGCAAGUAGAACGCUGAAGAGAGGAGCUUGCUCUUCUUGGAUGAGUUGCGAACGGGUGAGUAACGCGUAGGUAACCUGCCUUGUAGCGGGGGAUAACUAUUGGAAACGAUAGCUAAUACCGCAUAACAAUGGAUGACACAUGUCAUUUAUUUGAAAGGGGCAAUUGCUCCACUACAAGAUGGACCUGCGUUGUAUUAGCUAGUAGGUGAGGUAAUGGCUCACCUAGGCGACGAUACAUAGCCGACCUGAGAGGGUGAUCGGCCACACUGGGACUGAGACACGGCCCAGACUCCUACGGGAGGCAGCAGUAGGGAAUCUUCGGCAAUGGAGGCAACCCUGACCGAGCAACGCCGCGUGAGUGAAGAAGGUUUUCGGAUCGUAAAGCUCUGUUGUAAGUCAAGAACGGGUGUGAGAGUGGAAAGUUCACACUGUGACGGUAGCUUACCAGAAAGGGACGGCUAACUACGUG
rnacentral:rRNA from 1 species